rnacentral:rRNA from 1 species
AAUGGGUCAGCGACUUAUAUUCUGUAGCAAGGUUAACCGAAUAGGGGAGCCGAAGGGAAACCGAGUCUUAACUGGGCGUUAAGUUGCAGGGUAUAGACCCGAAACCCGGUGAUCUAGCCAUGGGCAGGUUGAAGGUUGGGUAACACUAACUGGAGGACCGAACCGACUAAUGUUGAAAAAUUAGCGGAUGACUUGUGGCUGGGGGUGAAAGGCCAAUCAAACCGGGAGAUAGCUGGUUCUCCCCGAAAGCUAUUUAGGUAGCGCCUCGUGAAUUCAUCUCCGGGGGUAGAGCACUGUUUCGGCAAGGGGGUCAUCCCGACUUACCAACCCGAUGCAAACUGCGAAUACCGGAGAAUGUUAUCACGGGAGACACACGGCGGGUGCUAACGUCCGUCGUGAAGAGGGAAACAACCCAGACCGCCAGCUAAGGUCCCAAAGUCAUGGUUAAGUGGGAAACGAUGUGGGAAGGCCCAGACAGCCAGGAUGUUGGCUUAGAAGCAGCCAUCAUUUAAAGAAAGCGUAAUAGCUCACUGGUCGAGUCGGCCUGCGCGGAAGAUGUAACGGGGCUAAACCAUGCACCGAAGCUGCGGCAGCGACACUGUGUGUUGUUGGGUAGGGGAGCGUUCUGUAAGCCUGUGAAGGUGUACUGUGAGGUAUGCUGGAGGUAUCAGAAGUGCGAAUGCUGACAUAAGUAACGAUAAAGCGGGUGAAAAGCCCG